CGCAUGUGUAAGAACAUGUUUCUGGCGGGAGGGGUGAGGAGCGACAUGAAGGGACCCUGGACAAUAACUGAAACUGCCUGUGUGACAGCAUGGAGAAGGUCACGUGAGCCUGAUCUGCUGCUGGGCAAUGAGCGGGAGAAGCAGCAAGCGGAUCUCUGUUCGGCCAAUAGAAGCCGCGCGCGCGGGCCCCUGGGGCCGCAGCGCCCCUAGUGGGGGUAGGCAGCUGCGCCCGCCCCCAGGGCACCUCGGGACCUCGAACAGGAGCCUGGCCCUGCCUGUAGAGCUCAUCACAGAUGCUGGGGGGGGUCUUGUAGCACCCCCUGAGUUAAAGUGGUUUCCAUUGCAUAGAGGGUUUAUGGAGUGGUCCAGUGGCUCUCAGCCUGCGCCCCCGCCCCCCCAUAAAAACUGUGCCAGCAGCCCUGGUAGAGCUGGCUGGUGCUCGCCGUGGGCAGGGCCCACUUUACCAAGCCCCGUAGCUGAGGGCAGAUAAAGGAGCUGUGCUAGCUGCACACAUGGAUUUCUGCACCAGCGAGGCGCCUGGGUCUUAAAUAAAAAGCUCUUGUGCUUGUGGAGAAACCCUCGCAACUGGGACCCAUUCCACGGUGUGGCCUCCCAGACAACCCCCCUGCCGCGGCUGCUGUCCACAGCUAGAGUUGAAAUAGAAAUAGGGCAAUUAUUUUUGUGAGAAUCCUUGUUUUUUCUUGUCUGCGUCUUCGUGCGAAAGAGCCCACCCGUCUGGGAUCCACGUACUUGUUCUCCAGACAGGGCUCCUGGCUGAAAUUGGUGACUGACUUUAUUUGAGUGUUGAAACCAAAUGCAGAAGUCGUCUCUCUGUUGUGGCUUUCCACAAUAGUAUGGCUCUCCGUCAUGCACUCCUGCAGAAUGCUCGGAGUGGUGCUUCUUUCACAUGUCUCUCUGCUGCCACAUCGACAAAGGAAGAGGUCAGUAACUGGAAAUCAUCACUAAAUAUGUUCUCCUUCACCCCAGAAACAACAGCGCUUAAUGAGAAUAUCACUGACCAGCUGAGACUAUACUGUGCCAUGCAGAAUUAAUUGCUUUCAGUGAGCAGCUCUAACUAAUAAAUCAAUGGCACAAUAUGAUUUCUCAUUAAUAGUAAUUUCUGUAGUACAACUACUACAUUAGUUCUUUUCAAGGAACCCUGGGGGGAGGAAGCGGUCACAAAACAUUGUCUCUUUGAGGUAUGUCAACCUCCACAUCUAAAACUAAUGUAUCUAUUUGGAAAGUCCCAGUACAAAAAUAGCAACCUAGAGAAUGAAGUAUAUGGAUCAAAGCCAUUGUUUAGCCAACAGAAGUAUAUGGCACCAUUGGUAUGUGCUUAUGCCCUCUGUGCUCUGUAGGCCAAAUUCACCUGUGCAUUGAAGUAAUGAAUGGUGCCAGCUCAUACCAGUUAUAACUUUGAUCCUGUAUUUUCAAUAAAAAUUAAAUAUUGCCAGGGAUACACUUGUUCUUUGUAUGUAUUUUUCCUAUUAAAAAAAUGUAUUCUAAUAUUAUUAAAAUACAUUGAUCUAAACUAAAAGCCAGAAGCAUUUUACAUCACAAUGGACACAAAAUAGAUUGAAACUGAAUGGAUUAUAUAAAUUAAAACUGUGUGUGAUUGGCACAGACAUGGCCAAUACACUGGUAAUGACCUGAUUAAUUUACAAAAGAAAAAUAAGGAGGUAAAAUGUAUUUAUUCUCCUUUUCACUCUGUUUUAACAUAUACAUUCUGCAUAGCGGGGUGAAAAAAAUCACCCACCAAGAACCUUUUUGUUGUCUUACUAACAAGAGUUCUUUAUAUAACUGUUUGAUCUAAAUGGGGUUUAUUAAGACUUGAUCCCAAACCAAAAACUUUCUUCUGAAACUCCAAAGUUUGAGGGCAUUAAAAUUAUCCAAAUCAAGAUCUGACUCUCACUUUUGCAAAAAGCCUCUGUUUGUUAAUAGGUCAAACUCUGCAUUCAAAGACCCUUUACUUAAUGCUAGAGCUGUAAAUUGCAGCUUGAGUCCAUCUCUAUUAUUUAUUAAAAUCAGUAAAAUGUAUUCCAUUCCUGUAGGUUUUUUCACUUGCUUAUGUGUAGCUGCUUAGGUAAGUUAUUUACUAAACUACAGUAAUAUCAUUCACAAGAGCACUGCCAUUAAGAGGCUGUUGUUGCUGAUGGGUUGGCAACAAUAGGACCCGAUUAUUCUGCCGGUUCUACCCAUGUGACUCCUAGUGACUUCACUGGCAGUUGUACCUACACAACUGACAAGAUAAUCAGGACCAUGAUGAGUAUGGAUGUGUGAAUGCUCAAGUGGAGGGAAGGGGUUGAAAUUAUUCUUUUGUUUCUUCCUGUAGGAGUAGGGAAGAGGGAGAAGUUUGUAAUUGCAGCCUGAGAAAGUGCAACAGUACAUUCAGCUACCUUAAGCAUUUCUGUACAGACACCAAAUCCCUUUCCAUGACCUGCUACAAGUUCCUUGUUUUUUGUUUUAUAUAAUAUAUGUUCAAAUAUAAGAAAACAGGAGUGGAGUCAAGAACGUCUUUACUGUAGUCCUAGCAGGUUGCUUACGGCAACAAAAUGUUAGAGGUCCUAAAAGCUAGAGUCACAAGAGUACUUAGUGUUGUAAUGCCUAAUUUGUAGGCACCCUGUGAUUAGAGUAAUUCUGUACCCUGAGUUAGAUGCCCAGAUUCCCCAUUAAUUGUAUAGGGAGAGAUAGGGCACUAGGAAAUGGAUUCUCCAAAGCCAGUAAACUGAGCACAGAGCCACCUAAGCUAGCCAGAAGUGAAAUGCAGAAGAAAGGGGUGGGGCUUAGGCUAGAUCCUCAAAGGUAAUUAAGCACCUAACGCCCAUUGAUCUGGGCCUUAGGCGCUUGACAGGCUGGAGGCAGGCAUCUCUCUCUGUGUGGGAUUCUCAAAUGUGAACCUUCUCCUGGAGUUAGGUGUCUAGGCUGAUGGGAGAGGAGAGGAGGGAGACUGACCCCACCCCAUUAUAGCCAAUAGCCUACUGGUUAGUGCAUGAGGGCUGCAGGAGAACCAGAAUCCCUGCUCUGCCUAAAUUGGACUUGCACCUAAGUCUCUGCUCUGAAUCAGACAAAGCAAUUAUUUGAAUCUGGGUCAUCCACAACCCAGGUGAGUGCACUAAUGAUUGAGCUAUUGAGGUAUUCUGGGUUGGACAUACACACACUCUACCCAUGCACCCCUGAAAAAUUCCCAACCUACUCACUCCUGGUUGUCUUUUGUGCAGGUUAGGCAUGUUCUAGCAUACACCGAAUGGCUCAGGCCCCACUAGAGAGAAACGCAGGGGAAUGCCAAAGAAUCCCACCAGGGCUUUAGCUUCACUAAGGGCUUCAAGCAGCUCAUUAGCAUCUGGACUUAAAUGGCAGAAAUUUAGGUGCUGAUGGGGAUUUAGGUGCUUACAGGGUUAGAUGGCAACUGAGCGGGGGUUUUGAGAAUGGCAGUGGUACCUAAACAGAAUGCCACUAACCAUCACCUACAGCCUCCAACUAAAACCUCUCCAGUGCAUCAUCAAGGAUCUACAACCUAUCCUGAAGGUCAAUCCCUCACUCUCACAGACCUUGGGAGACAGCCCAGUCCUCGCUUACAGACCGCCCCCCAACCUGAAGCAAAUACUCACCAGCAACUACACACCACUCAACUAAACACUAACCCAGGAACCAAUCCCUGCAAUAAACGCCUGUGAUGUUACACUCUAUAUGAUUAUAUGAAAAUAUGGUCAUGAGUGUGAAUAUAAUGUAACUGGAAUAUGCUUCAUGCAAAAGGUCUCUUGUAAGGUAUCAUUAAAAAGCUUAUAAUCUAUUGAGCAUGGUCAUCCAAUUUGUAUAAAUGUAUCGUUCUUGUAUCUGAAACGAGAAAUAUGAAAUAUAACUCUGAGGUCCUAUUGUAAUUGUGCAAAGUGUGGGCCAUUAAUGGUGGCUUGAAAUCUUGAUGGCUCCCAUUAACCAGGACAAUUGGUUGUAAAUGGCUUUGUUUACUUGUAAGUCUUCCUGUAUACUGUGUGCUGGCAAGUGGGUAAUGAAGUCUUACAGUGACGUGAUUGUGUCACCGAAACUGAAAUCCAUCUUUAACCUGGUACUUUUCCAUUAAGAAGGAGGGGUGAGAACCCAGAGAGGGACAAAGAAUUCCCUCCUUGUGCAACUGAUAGAUAAGCGGGUGGAACAGAACAAAGGGGGCUACAGUCAUGAGAAAUCCCCUAGUUACCACUGAGCUGGAACAAGAACUGUACUGGGAAAAGGAUUGGGCCCACACUAGAAAGGAGUCUAGUCUGUGAAAGAAGCUUAUUGGAACAUCUCUCAGGGUGAGGUUUCAUCUGUAAUCAGUUUCUUACUGUAUUAGACUUAGACUCAUGUAUUUUUGUUUUAUUUUGCUUGGUAAUUUACUUUGUUCUGGCUGUUAUUACUUGGAACCACUUAAAUCCUACUUUUUAUAUUUAAUAAAAAUCACUUUUUGCUUAUUAAUUAAGUCAGAGCAAGUAAUUAAUUCCUGGGGGAGCAAACAGCUGUGCAUAUCUCUCUAUCAGUGUUAAAGAGGGCGGACAAUUUAUGAGUUUACCCUGUCUAAGCUUUAUACAGAGUAAAACAGAUUUAUUUGCGGUUUGGAUCCCAUUGGGAACUGAGUGUCUGGGUGCUAGAGACAGGAGCACUUCUCAAGCUGUUUUCAGUUAAGCCUGCAGCUUUUGGGGGACGUGGUUCAGACCUGGGUCUGUGUUUGCAGCAAGCUAGCAUGUCUGGCUCAACAAGACAGGAUACUGAAGUCCCAGGAUACUGAAGGGAAAACGGACUCAGAAGUAGUCUCAGCACAUCAGGCGGCAGUCCCAAGGGUUUCUGUGACCCAACCCGUCACAACCCCAUUGUCAACUCUGUCCGCAUAUCUAUUCAAGGGACACCAUCAUAGGACCUAACCACAUCAGCCACACCAUUGGACUCGUUCACCUGCACAUCUACCAAUGUGAUAUAUGCCAUCAUGUGCCAGCAAUGCCCCUCUGCCAUGUACAGUGGCCAAAAUGGACAGUUUACGCAAAAGAAUAAAUGGACACUAUUCAGACAUCAAGAAUUGUAACAUUCAAAAACCAGUAGGAGAGCACUUCAAUCUCCCUGAACACUCAAUAACAGACUUAAAAGUGGCUAUUCUUCAACAAAAAAAACCUUCAAAAACUGACUUCAGCUAGAAACUGCAGAACUGGAAUUAAUUUGCAAACUUGACACCAUCAAAUUAGGCCUGCUGAAAGACUGGGAGUGGCUGGGUCACUACAAAAAAUAAUUUUCCCUCUGUUUAUACUCACACCUUCUUCUUAACUGUUGCGAAUGGACCACAUCCACAUGAUUGAAUUGGUCUUGUUAGCACUGAUCCCUCACUUGGAAAGGCAACUCCCAUCUUUUCAUGUGCUGUAUAUUUAUACCUGCUUACUGUAUUUUUCACUCCAUGCAUCUGAUGAAGUGGGUUCUAGCCCAUGAAAGCUUAUGUCCAAAUAAAUUUGUUAGUUUCUAAGAU